rnacentral:rRNA from 1 species
UACGUAGGUGGCAAGCGUUGUCCGGAAUUACUGGGUGUAAAGCGCGUGUAGGCGGCAGGCCAAGUCUGCGGUGAAAGCGCCCGGCUCAACUGGGCGAGGUCCGUGGAAACUGGUCAGCUGGAGGACGGUAGAGGCGAGUGGAACUGCGAGUGUAGAGGUGAAAUUCGUAGAUAUUCGCAAGAACACCAGUGGCGAAGGCGGCUCACUGGCCCGAUACUGACGCUGAGGCACGAAAGCGUGGGGAGCAAACAGG